rnacentral:rRNA from 1 species
GAUGAACGCUAGCGGCAGGCUUAACACAUGCAAGUCGAGGGGUAUUGGUUUUCGGACCAAGAGACCGGCGCACGGGUGCGUAACGCGUAUGCAAUCUACCUUUUGCAGAGGGAUAGCCCAGAGAAAUUUGGAUUAAUACCUCAUAGUAUAGUACUUUGGCAUCAAGGAACUAUUAAAGUCACAACGGCAAAAGAUGAGCAUGCGUCCCAUUAGCUAGUUGGUAAGGUAACGGCUUACCAAGGCAACGAUGGGUAGGGGUCCUGAGAGGGAGAUCCCCCCANACUGGUACUGAGACACGGACCAGACUCCUACGGGAGGCAGCAGUGAGGAAUAUUGGACAAUGGGCGCAAGCCUGAUCCAGCCAUGCCGCGUGCAGGAUGACGGUCCUAUGGAUUGUAAACUGCUUUUGUACAGGAGAAACCCUUUCACGUGUGGAAGAUUGACGGUACUGUAAGAAUAAGGAUCGGCUAACUCCGUGCCAGCAGCCGCGGUAAAGUG